NNAGCAUGGCCCCUACUCAAGGAUGACACGCAAAUUCGCGAAGCGUUCCAUAUUUUU
rnacentral:snRNA from 1 species